AUCUGUUUUCAGCAGUAAUUGUCCUAUAUGUGAAAAUAUGAAGCCUUAUUUUGACAGCUGGCAGUGUCUUUGAUAUUGGAAGAUGUCAUUUGGAAAAGAGGGAACGACAGCAGAUCGGAGGCAGCUGUUCACCGCCGUGGUAGCCCGUGAGCGCAGCUGUGGGGUGGUGAUGGUGGGAUUUGGGAUUGGGCGGGCUGGUGUUUGUUUCUGUUUUGUGUUUUGUCAAAUCCCUGGGGCUGGAUAUCAUUAGGCUACAAGCUGCACAUUCUAUUUAGUUAGAACCAGGAGCUGACGGCAUCAGAGAAGAGGAGGAGGGAGAAAGAGCAAAGGGGCAUGGAGCGGAAAAAGAAAGAACAGGAGAGGACCUUGAAAGGUGGAAUAAGGCCGUGAAUGCGGGGGAGAGAAGUCACAGGCAGAGAAAGACAGAAAAUGAGGAGGUGGAAACCGGCUGUUUGGGGGAUGGGCUAAUUGCCCAAGUAAGGCUCUGCCCUGAGACCUGGGGAUUAUCUAGCCUUUUUCACCGGUCAGUGUCACAGGGGCCGCCGCUGCCUUAGUGCAGGGAGCCCAGUCCCUCCACCGCCGUCCCUGCAGCCUGCAGACAGGGCCCACCUGCCGCCUACUCCCCGGCUCCAGCAGCUGGGAAAGGCUCCCAUCAGCAGGUGAAGGGGAGCGGGAAAGCCACUCGCCAGCGCCUGCUCUGAGGCUGCUGUCCUUGCACGUUCACACGUGGGAGAAGCGACUUUCUUUCUCUUUCUUCAGUUCCAAGGAGCCCAUUAGUGGCCUGUGACGGGCUCAGGUAUUGUUCCCCUCAAGACCCACUGGGCCUGCCGCUGCCAGGGCUCACAUUCCUGCCCCGGCGACAGGAUCGGGUCAGGCUGUGUCCUGAACCCCACGCCCCACCGGCGCCUGCACACACGCGCCCCUCUCCACCUCCCCUUCUCAGUCUCCUGCCCUGGGCGCUCCUUGAGACCACCACCAGGACGUCCAACUCUAAAGCCACAGAGACCCGGGCUUCCUGGGAAAAGCUGACCAGCGCAUUCCUGCAGGCGCAGGAUUAAGACGGGAAACCCAGAAAGGAGUCUCUCCUCAUUGCAAACAGAGAUAAGCCUUCGGGGAGAGUUGCACACAGGAGUGCGAGUGGCCACCCCUCCAGGGGCUGUGACAGGGGAAUCUGUGGGUCAGCGGCCUCUCUGCCACCACCAGCCACACGACUUGGGGAGGACAGCUGGGGCCUCCCUGUUCCCCUGUCCGCAGCAGUCAGGGCCUGCCUGUUCAUACCCAGGUUAUCACGUGAAACCAGGGAAGUCAGGGACCAGCCUCUGACUGCGGGACAGAACCACAACACAGGGUGUUGCUGGGGAGGCCCGACCUGGCUCGGGUUGGCUGCUUUCUCCUUUACAGGCUAAAGAUCUGCUGCCCGCUGGCUCCUGCGGCCCUCCGUGGAGUGGGGGAGGCCGCCCUCCCUCCUGCGUCACCAUCCUGGCUGCCUCCGUUCCUGCAGCUGACUCUGCAGGGGUGGGGAGUUUUGCUAGCAAGGCAAGUGGGAUGUAUUUCCAUCCAUGUCACACAGAGCUGACAGAAGCUAGGCGAUUCCAGGGGGAAAUGUCCUUACUUCCUUCCGAAUGGCCUGGCUGCAGCUUAAGUGCACAGAGGAGUGGUUCCUAGACCCACUCUCAAUCCUGGGUCUGGGUCUGGCUGGGUCUGGCUGCUUCUGCAGGCUUCUUGCUGUCAGGUCUCUCUGGUGUCAGAAAUCUCCUGCCCUGCUGCCACCUUAUGGAGUUAGGAUGCCAGACAGACUGGCAGGGAAGCAGCCCCAUGGGGGGUUGAACCCUGCCUCUCUACUCUGUUCUCUGCAUGGUAUCAGGGUGGCCCCGAGGGAGUGCAGAAGUGCCAGCCUUCCGCGGAGGGGAAGCCCUUUUUUGCCUGAUCUUCUACAUAAGCUUCUCCUAAGUGCUAGAGUCAGGCAUAACCCCAAGGAAAGUUUCAAGGAGACGAGUGGUUCCAGCAUGCAAUGCUGCAGAGAGCUCAAGGAAAGCAUUUAGUGGAUGUCAUAACUAGGAGGUCGUCAAGACGGGGAAGCUGCAGAGAACACCUGGGCACUGCUCCUUUGGGGAUCUUAGCUGAGAGGCCUUCCUGUUGGCAAGAGAGGGGGUAGGAAGGACCUACUCUCCUGCCUACUCCAGUGGGCAGGCUUUCACAUGAGAAGGAAAGAGGAAAUGUAAUUAUUUCUGAGACUGAAGAGAUCAGGUGGCAUGGUAUUAAUGAUUAGGGAACAAGACUGUCAUACACAUCACGACAGUUCGUCAGUUCCAACUUCCCUCAUGUGAAUGACAGCUGACAUUCACACUUGCAGGACCAGGAGCCAAUAAUAACUACAAAGUGGCAAGUGGCUCUGUCCCUUCUGCCGCCACUAAAGAAAGCAUCUCAAAAUGCAAGCGUGUGGUAGUGACUUCAUUGUAGAGACACUUGAAUCACCUCUAGUUUAUUAAUAUAUUAUAAUAAACCAAAGAAUGGUCCUUUCACUCUUAGUCACAAAGUACUUGCACCAUGCCUCUCAAUAACAUAAACCAACAAAAAACUCAGUGAGAUUCAAGACUCAUAGUUCAACUAACACCCCUGCCAUACUCACUCUUCCUUCUUAAAAAAAUAUCAAUGCCAACAACUUACAGAAAAAUCUCAUCAAUACUAAACAGCUGUUCCUUUCCUAAAAAGUCUCUUUGGAUAUAAAUUGGUAUCUCCAUCAGCUUACAAGGUUGUAAUCAGUAUGUACAUAUAAUUUCAUGUUCUACUUUUCUUCACUAAAUAUUUCAUCUACACAUUCUCAUUUACUGGUGUACUCUCACGAUGUCUAGGGGCUAAAAAGAUUUUAUUAAUUAAUGUUUUCCCAUUGUGGAGUAUUGGUUGUUUCCCAUUGUUCAUUUUACAGUGCUGCAAUUGAUUUUUUUAUAGAAAAGAAAAUCAAUGUUUUGUGUUUUCAUUUUGAGGUACGUUUUCCC
rnacentral:lncRNA from 1 species